GUGCUUGCUUCAGCAGCACAUAUAUGGAAAUGAGAACAAUACAGAGAUUAGCGUGGUCCCUGCACAAAGAUUACACAAAUUCAUGAAGCAUUCCUUAUUUAA